UACGUAGGGCGCAAGCGUUGUCCGGAAUUAUUGGGCGUAAAGAGCUCGUAGGCGGUCUGUCGCGUCUGUUGUGAAAAACUCGAGGCUCAACCUCGGGGCUUGCAGUGGAUACGGGGCAGACUAGAGUGCGGUAGGGGGAGACUGGAAUUCCUGGUGUAGCGGUGGAAUGCGCAGAUAUCAGGAGGAACACCGGUGGCGAAGGCGGUUCUCUGGGCAUGUCCUGACGUGAGGAGCGAAAGUGUGGGGGAGCGAAACAGG
rnacentral:rRNA from 1 species